rfam:Triticum aestivum genome assembly, contig: Triticum_aestivum_CS42_TGACv1_scaffold_577053_7BL
AUUAUACUCCCUCCGUUGCACAAUACAUGCCUUCUAUUUGUCAAAAUAUAUAUGUAUCUAGACAUGUUUUAGUAUAUAGGUACAUCCAUUUUUGGACAAAUGGAAGUCAAGUAUUUUGGAACGGAGGGAGUACACA